GCCUGCGCACUUCGAGGAAGACAAUGACGGGACCCGACGGCGGAGGCGGACCUUGUGCAGGGUGUGUGCACUGAAGUCCGGGGGCUGUUCUGCUUCCGUGCGUCUGGUGCCUCCGAUCUUCUAGUCGCUCUUCACGUCACCCUGUUUGUUUCAGUUUAAACCAUGUCGAAAUCCUUGAAAAAGAUUGUAGAGGAAAGUAGGGAGAAAAAUAUAUUGGAAGUGGACAUGUGUGAGCGUGGCAUAUCAAACAUGUUGGAUAUACCUGGAUUAUUCAGUCUGUCUCAUAUCACACAGCUGGUUCUCAGUCACAACAAGCUCACUGCGGUGCCUCCAAAUAUUGCAGAUCUGAGGAAUUUAGAAGUACUCAAUUUUUUCAACAAUCAGAUUGAGGAGCUGCCAACUCAGAUCAGCAGCCUUCAGAAGCUCAAACACUUAAAUCUUGGGAUGAACAGGCUCAACACCUUGCCACGAGGAUUUGGCUCUUUACCAGCUCUGGAAGUUCUUGAUUUGACUUACAAUAAUUUAAAUGAAAAGUCCCUGCCUGGAAACUUCUUCUAUCUAACCACCCUGCGUGCACUCUAUCUAAGUGACAACGAUUUUGAAACCCUGCCAUCAGAUAUUGGGAAGCUCACGAAGUUGCAGAUACUUAGCUUUAGGGAUAAUGACUUGAUAUCACUCCCAAAAGAAAUUGGGGAACUCACACAGCUUAAAGAACUUCAUAUCCAAGGAAACCGUCUUACAGUAUUGCCUCCAGAAUUAGGAAACUUGGAUUUGACUGGUCAAAAGCAAGUCUUCAAAGCAGAAAAUAAUCCGUGGGUUACUCCUAUUGCAGAUCAGUUCCAACUGGGUGUUUCUCACGUGUUUGAAUAUAUUCGUUCAGAAACAUAUAAAUAAUGUGAUUUGCCAUUGCUUUCCUCUAUGUCAGAUGUUGACAGAUCAAUUAUGUAGAACAGAGGUCCUCAAACUUUUGGGGACCAGGGACCGGUUCUGUGGAGAGAGGUUUUUCCACACACCGGAGGGUACAUGGUUUUGUUUGCUGCCUACUUCCCGUGGAUGGGGGUUUGCUGGUUUGUGCAGCCCGACUGCUGUACUGGUCCAUGGACUGGGGGUUGGGGACCCCUGAUCUAGAGCUUUAGAGAACUCUAGAGUCACUGACUAAUCUAGCUCUCUCUUUCCCUCUUUUUCUAGUUGUGUCUUUUCCUGACUUUUGGGGUGAAAGUAGGGACAGCAUUUAUCCUAUUUCUCUUCACUGGCACUUCACCUGUUUUCCAGAUUUACUUAAAGCCUUUACGGAAGACACAUGCAGGCAAACCCUGAACCUC